CACACACACACACACAAGAGGGUAGCUCAACAAGGACACCUUUUCUGAUAAUUUUUUAUGGUAUUGACUAACACUUUAUAGGACUGAGUGUAUUUUAACCAGAGAAAAUGGAUAGUAAGGCAUCUUAGAAAAACUUGAGGGGCGCCUGGGUGGCUCGGUUGGUUGUGCAUCCGACUUCGGCUCAGGUCAUGAUCUCGCAGUUUGUGAGUUCGAGCCCCGCAUCGGGCUCUGUGCUGAUACCUGGGAGCCUGGAGCCUGCUUCAGAUUCUGUGUCUCCCUCACUCUCUGCCCCUCCCCCACUUGUGCUCUGUCUCUCUCUGUCUCUCAAAAAUGGAUAAAUGUAAAAAAAAAUUUUUUUAAUUAAAAAAAAAAAAGAAAAACUUGAAAAUCCCAGUGCAUACUUUCAAAAACUCUUGGGGUUCCAAGGGAGCUGAAAAGACAUGUUCUCCCGCCAUUUAAAAAUAAUUUUUUUAAUUUUUAUUUAUUUUUGAGAGAGAGAGAGAGAGAGAGUGCGAAGGGGGGAGGAACAGAGAGAGAGAGAGAGAGAGAGAGAGAGGGAGACACAGAACCCGAAGCAGGCUCCAGGCUCUAAGAUGUCAGCCCAGAGCCCGACGUGGGACUCAAACUCACAAACUGCAAGUUCAUGACCUGAGCCGAAGUCAGACGCUCGACCGACUGAGCCACCCAGGCACCUCACCGCCUCUUUUUGAUGCUUGAAUCUUCUCUGCAGCAACAGCCUCCAAGAGUAUUCUGGCUUAUGUUUGAAAGUCAUAGUGGUGGACAUACCUACAAAAGGAUCCACUUCCAUUCUGGGUAACUCUGGCCAUUAAAAAGUAAAGUCACCUUUCCUCUCUACUCACUAACCUCAGAUUUUUAAUAGUUGCUGCUAGUAUUUAUUGAAUUUGGAGCUGGUUAUCCUCUUGUUUACCCCCUUAAUGUAUCUCUAUGGGCGUAUCCGUUCUAAGGCUGCCAUAAUAAAAUAGCACCGACUGGGUGGCUUAAAAACUUAUUUUCUCACAGUCCUGGAGGCUGGAAGUCCAAAUGAAUGCCUGGCUGGUUCAGUUUUGGUUUCUGGUGACAGUUCUCUUCUUAGAUUUUAGAUGGCUGCCCUCUUGCUUUGUCCUCACACGGCCUUUCCUUAGUGUGUGUGCCGGUGGAGGGGUGGGGGGGGGGGGGGGAGAGUGCUGUCUGGCGUCUCUUCUCGGAAGGACACUGAUCCUCUGGGAUCAGGACCCCACCUUUAUGACCUCAUUUAACUUUAAUGCCUUUUUCAGUGGCCCCAUCUCUAAAUACCGCCAUCUUGGAGGUGGCGGCUUCAACGACUAACUUUGGGUGGUGGGGCAAACAUUCCAAAACAGUAGAGUCUGUAGCAAUGGGGUAAACAUUGGUAUCCUCGUUUCACCGAGAAAGGGUAUCUGAGGAACAGCCCUGUCUAGUAACGAAAUGUGCAUUUUUCUGGCGUAAGGUCAAAGGAGGAGGGGCCGUGGUCAUGGUAAUCGAAGACUCAGUGUAUGAGUUUGCUAGGGCUGCCCUAACGAACGCGAUAGAUGGGGUGGCUUAAGGAAGACGUUUAUUUUCUCAUAGUUCUGGAGAAGAGAUAGCCAAUACUGAAGGGGCAAGGUUUCUUCCGAGGUUUCCCUCCUUGGCUUACAGAUGGCUGUGUUCUCCCUAUGUCAUCACAUGGUCUUCCGCCUGUGUGUGCACUCUUUUUAUUAGGACACCAGUCACACCGCGUGAGGGCCCCCACCCUCACGGUCUUCAUUUAACCUUAAUCACCUCUCUAAAGACCUGAUCUACAAGUAGAUCACAUCCUGAGGGGCUGGAGGUUAGGGAUUCAACAGCUGCAUUUUGGAGGGGACACGAUUCAGCCAAGAACAGCCAGGGUGCCGUCCAUUCGUCCCAACAGAGGGCGCUAACGCCUGCAAUGCCGCUUCCAGGAUGCUUCAGGCCAGGACAUCAGUCUCCCUUGCAGAAUGCUUCCGGAAGCACAGCUCGUUCCUCCUGGGUGUACCGCGGUUUACUGUGCACCCCAUCCAUUUCCAAAUGUCAGGGCAAGUAAAAGAGAGUGGCACUUUUAAUGUAAUAAAAUAUUGUGCUCUUUUUGGACCCUGGGAUUGUUUUCUGUGACCAGGAAACCUUUUUUUUUUUUCCCCUCUAUUAGAUAGCAUCUCUAUGAGUAUUCUAUUUGCUUUCUCUCCUAGCACUUGGUUUCUAUCCCCGCCCAUCUGGAAAUUACCAGUGAGUUACAUAAAUUGGUCUUCCUACCUAUCAUUACACAUAGGAGGAGCUUGUCCUGGUACACAGGGUACACACUGUCCCCUGAAAGUGUGAAAGGGCACAGAGUUACGAAACCAAAUUAUACCAGGACUUUAGAAAUAUUUGGAGGAAGAUACAGAAGCACCCUUGGGCUCGCCACGCCGGAACAGCCAUUUUCAUCUUGCUUGUGGUUUCUUAGUUGCAUGCUUAUAUAUCUUGGUCAAUAUCUGCAAGGAUCCAGCUAGGUGCUGCCAUCAUGCUCUGCUGCUCCGGGAUCCCAUCAUUCCCCUGAAGCCAAAGAGCCCAUCUCAGGAGAUGUCACUUUGGCAUCCAGGAGACAGCUACCACUGAGAAAAGUUCUGGAAUCCCAACCGCAGCGCAUGUAGGCUACUGCUGAGUCCAAGCUUCAGUUGCCCAGCCAAGCAGACCGUGAGACCCACUUCCAGUAGUAGUAGCCGGCACAUGGAACCCUGCAUCUUGGGUCGUCUUGCCCAUAUCAAUACCGUUGGCCCAGUCCUAUGCUAUGCUCUGUCCCCUCGGUUUAGCAUCAUUACAAUCUGCUUCUGCAUGAAUUACCAGUUUCCUACUGGAAUCGACGAGCACAGUCUUGAACUUCGUUUGGAGCCUAAGCUGUUUCUUCCAACGUCAGCUUUUGUGUUUGAUCCUCUGGAGUGUCCUGAGGAGAGUUUAGAUUUUUACUUUUCUUCGCUUAACAGUUGGUCAGUAGCUUUCCCCUUGAGUGUCUGCUUAUGAUUGCUUUUAAUGAUUGUGUGCUAUUCCUUUAUAUUGAAAUGUACCCUUCCAACCUAUUCGUCUAAUUUUGAGAGUUUAGGUUGUUUGCAAAAAACUACUUUUCAAAAUAUUCUGAAAUUGAAUAUAUAAUUAUUUCAUUAUAUAUCUUGAGUCUUGUUUUGCAAAGAAAAAAUAAAAUUACGAGGAAAUGAUGAAGAAGAAAUAUUUUAUUAAAAAAAUUAAGCAAACAUCUGGAGAGUUUAAUUCAUGCUUAGCUGCCUGACAGGAGAAAUGGGUCGAUUCAGAACAUAAUAGAACAUCGUAGACCAAAGACAUUGAAAGUUGAGGUAGGAAAAAAAAUCCAAGAAAUUGUCUUAUUAUUUUGUAUUAUUUUUAUAAUUCAUGGAUCCAUGAUUGGAGUGAUUCUCAGAAAUAGUCACUCAGAAUGACAAGCUUGGGGAGUGUCUGUUUUCCAGAACAAUGUGAAUGAUAACUUUUUAACUUCAUGGCUUAUACUGAGUUACUGAGGGUCCGCAUCAAACUGCAGUGCCUGGCCCCAGGCCAUACAGCUCAGCAGUCCCCAUCCUUUGUCCUUCUUAAUGGCCAGGUCUUCCCAGGUAGAGUUAUAUUGAUGUUUUCCAACUUGAUUUAGAACUGCCCACUUUUGAGUAGAAGCCGGAAGCCUCUCAGAAAUGAGAGUUUGACUCCUGGAUAUCCAUAUUACCUUUCAGUCACACCAUUUCCUAUUUCUCCAAUCCUUAAAAAAAAAAAAUUAAUGUUUAUUUAUUCAUUUAUUUAUUAUUUAUUUUUAAAAUGUUUGUUUAUUUUUGAGAGAGGUAGAAUGCGAGCAGGGGAGGGGCAGAGAGAGAGGGAGACACAGAAUCCGAAGCAGGCUCCAAGCUGUCAGCACAGCGCCCGACGUGGGGCUCGAACUCAUGAACCAUGAGAUCGUGACCUGAGCUGAAGUCAGACGCUUAACUGACUGAGCCACCCAGGCGCCCCUUAAUGUUUAUUUUUGAGAGAGAGAGAGUGCGCGCGCAAGUGGGGGCAGGCGCAGAGAGAGAGGGAGACACAGAAUCCGAAGCAGGCUCCAGGCUCUGAGCUGUCAGCACAGAGCCCCAAGGGGGGGUUGAACCCAUGAACCACGAGAUCCUGACUUGAGCUGAAGAUGGAUGCUUAACCAACUGAGCAGCCCAGGUUGGACUGGGCUUUAUGAUUGGACUUCUGCCUUUAUUUCCCUUCUGAAACUGGAGAUUUGCUCCAAAUUCUUUUCAGCUUAGGCCUUGACUCCCUGCUGAUAUCUAGGAGCUCCUUUCCUCAGGCCCUUGGUCCAGCUCCUUGGGUGCCCACAAUUGCUCACGGGGGCUUUAUUGUUCAUGGAAUCAAUGUGUUGCAGCUGACUGUAAUCACUAUUCUGACUCUUCAAAUUGGAUUAUCUCUUGUUGGUGCUUGUACAACCAUGCCUAAUUUCCCUCUACUUUUGAUUAUUACUUGGUUGCCUUUAUUAGUGUAAUUAGACAGUUUCAUUCACCAUGAUCCCUGUUUGUCGGAGUACUUAAUCUGUUUAGAAAACUAAACUAACAGAGGUGAGGAUUUUAAAUGGGAUCCCCUAGAUUAUGUGACAAAAUAAAAGAUGGUGUUUAGCUACCUCUGUAGGAGGGUAGAUCCAAUAAACUAAAGGACCCCAGUGAUGGUUUUGGGAGUGCAUACUGGGUGCAGAGGUUGGGCA